UACGUAGGGUGCAAGCGUUGUCCGGAAUUAUUGGGCGUAAAGAGCGUGUAGGCGGCCCGGUUAGUCCGCUGUGAAAGUCCAGGGCUCAACCCUGGAAUGCCGGUGGAUACUGUCGAGCUAGAGUCCGGAAGGGGCGAGUGGAAUUCCUGGUGUAGCGGUGAAAUGCGCAGAUAUCAGGAGGAACACCAAUGGCGAAGGCAGCUCGCUGGGACGUGACUGACGCUGAGACGCGAAAGCGUGGGGAGCAAACAGG
rnacentral:rRNA from 1 species